ACAUUAUUGGCAGCAUGAUUUUGAAGGAAACAAACUGCCUUUUAUUAAGAGAGUUGAAAAGAAUGAUGGCUUAUUGUAGUGAGCUAUAAUGAAAGAUCACAGUGUGCAUGAAGUUAAUGCAUUCACCAAAUGAAGCUGCUGCUGACCUCCAGAAUCUCUCUCUGCUGCCCAGGCUGGAGUGCAGUGGGAUGAUCUCGGCUCAUUGAAACCUCCACCUCCAGGUUCAAGCGAUACUCCUGCCUCAGGCUCCCGAGUAGCUGGGACUACAAGUGUGCACCACGAUGCCCAGGGCCAUGGCCUGAGGUGUUGACAAAUACAUCCAUGAAUGCUCCAAGGCGAGGAGGGAUGAUUCGAACAAAGUCCAAGCAUAUUCAGAGGAAAUCAGGACUGAGAGUCUUCAUGGCCAAUGCUCAAAUUUGAGGCUGAGGUGAUGAUUUUUAGGUGAGUAACCAAAAAUAAUCUAAGGGAUGGAUAUUUUGAGAUGUCUGGAAAAAUAGACCAGGUGUGGGAAACUGGAAAAGUAGCAGCUCUGCAGUUUACUCUCCUCCUUCCUGCCUCUUCUGUGCCACCCAGUCUGGACUGCUCCUGGGGAACAAGGGCUGGUAUAUGGCAGUAGCUACCUGAGGAAUAGGAGGCGGAGGUCUGAGAGGGCAGAGAGAAAAUGGGGAGUUCCCGUGGCCACCUGCUUAGAUCAACCAGCUUCUUGUGAAUUUGAAGGUAUUUAAGUAAAAAGGAAACAUGAUAAUUAACCCCUAAAUAAUAACUGCUAGUAUAUGCCUCCAUUUUUGAGGAAGGCAUAGAUUAUUGAAUGAGCUGCAUAGAUUAUUUAUUGAGCUGCAAUGAUUCAGUUUACAAUA